rnacentral:lncRNA from 1 species
GCGUAAUGCCAGCUCUUCAGUAUAUCUGGCUUCCUUCCUAACACUGCCUCAUUAUACUUGCCGAAAAGGAAAACACACUCCUAGAAGCUACCUACAAGGUGGUUUGGCUUAGCGUUUCUGUUUUUUCCACUUUUUAACAUUUUCCUUUCUCUUCUGUUCUUCUCCCAGCAGCAGAAUGCACAGGCUCCCGUAAGAAUUCCCCCUGGCUACAGUUCAUUUACAGCUGAUUUUAGAGACAGUACAAUAAGAGCACUUUGAAUCAGAGCGUGUCUGCUACCUGUCUGGCUGAAACAAGAAAGUGAAUAAAUCCAGCACCUCUUGAGCCUGUAAAUGUGAUCUACUGGAGCUGACCUGAAAUAUUAUCUGCUAUUGAGAUGUGUGUUUGUACAGUCCAGCUGUCCCAGAUCAGACACCUGGAAAAACUGCCUCUGUGUGAAAUAGUGGCCUAAUGCAAUGGCUUCCACAGACCUGUAUUUCGAAAAAGAAAAACUCAGAAGUAUUUUUCAAAAUAUGUUAUGCAAGCAUUUACUGAAUUUCCAAGAUUUGCAGUUAUUUCAAUGCCCUGAAAAUAGGCAAUUUGUCAAAAGAACAACAACAUCAACAAACCAAACCAAAACCAUAGAGGGACUCGAAGAACUUGACAUUCAAGGACUAGCUUCGAUCGUCACUGAAAUCCCCUCUUCUUGGCCCGAAGAGAUGUCAUAUGUGGGAAGUUAAAAGCAAGGAUAAGUACAUUUAGAAACUUGAACUAGAACUGUCUUCAGCUGAAUAUAUUUUUAAUCAUCUUAUUUGGCAACUGUUAAAUUAUACAAAUUGUAUCCUGUUUCUAACAUUCUUCUAUUGUGACAUGAAAUAAUUCUUUCACAAACAUCUCAAUGUGUCAUCAUUCUUUGGGGUUACUGGGAAAAAAUGUAUCUUAAAACAAUAAUACCACAACUUUAUAAUCUUUGACUUUUACUUCCUUCUGAGUUAGUAUGGUAGAAAAAAGCAAAAGGUAAUGUUCACCCAUGUGAACUCAACAAAAAGUAUAUACUGACCAUAAAUCAACUUGCACUGAGAUAAUUUUACUGCUUUUCUGGUUUCUAUUCACUUAAGCACCCAAAGGAAAAUUUCAUGUCAAUCAAACAAAUUUAUAUAAUGCCAUUUUUUAAAGUAUUAGAUUAGUUGGGAAAAAAAAAAAUAUGCAAAAUCUGUGUUUGUAUGAACAUUUCUUCUUGUGGGAAGACAGGCACAGGAAAGA